CGAAUACAUAGACGGAGGGGUGGCCAUUUUUCCGGGCACCACUAUAUACCCCUGGGGAGUGACGGAUUACAAUUAUUACAAUCACUCGACCAUUGAGAAGCCCCUCAAUUCGAACCACGUCAGUUUGACAACAGUUGUCAUUUUCAUUUUUGUUUACCUCUGAUAUGUUUUUGGCUACGAUCAGAGUGAAUGAAAUACGGGCAAUCUGAAACCGCACCGAGGCAGAUAGUUUUUUUGACGUAAAUAAAAUAUAGAGUAUUAUUGGCAAAUAAAUAUUUUAUACGAUACAUGUAGUGCCGCGAUUUUGAACAACCUACGGAUAUAGGCUGGAAUACAGACCUGACGAGCGUGUUGCUUUUUUGCCCUGCUACGACAGAGACUCGUUAUCACCUGUUAUCGACAAUGCAUGGGAUGCUUGACACGGACACGGAAGAUCAUAUUAUGGACCUGCUGUGUGGAGUUUCCUGGAAUAAUUGUUUUGGAUUAGAGCCGAGGCUAGCGUCUCUACGACGAAUGGCAAAAGUUUGAAUCUUCUCACGGAUAUGGAGCUAUAGAGUAAGGCAUGCAUCGGAGAAAACCUUGUAAAGUGCUGGCGGAUCGCACCCUUAUUUUGCCUUCCAAAUCAGCACACAUCGCACAACGAGUGGAUAAAUCUGGAAGGGGGAGUAAUUAUGCGCAAUGUUAUCUUGGAAGGCAGUGAUUCAGAUCCACGAGAAGCAAAACAAGCUGGUAAAGAAGGAGCUACUAGUAACGCCAACGACGAUGGAACGGUCAGGAAAUGUUUGACUUGUUUUCGAUAAGUUGGUGAGUGCAAAGGAUUCCGACAGGUUAGUUUAAUAUUUCAUUGUUUAUUAGUCAGUGUCAAAGCGUAAUUUUUGUCUGGAGCACUGUUCUAAAAUCAACAGACAAGUAAGUUUUGAGCAAAUUCUAACUACUAAAGUAUGCGAUUGGCAUUCCUAACAUAAUAACAAUCAAGUAGCUUCUAACUAUUUUAAAGAUUCAUACAAAAAGACACUUCUGUACACAGAGAAAAAUAAAGUUGGGAUUCCAACAUUUUUUUAAUCUUAUUUUAAAAGUAUGAAAAUUCUGGUAUUUUCAAGAGCUAAAACUUUUAAAUCAACUGCAAAGUUGAUUGUUUUGAUAGUUUUUCCUCAGUUCUAGCAAUAAGGGCUCAUUCACAAAUUACAUAACGCAAAAAAACACAGAUUUAAACCCCCACCCACCCCUCCGUGACUUGUUUGUAACAUUUCCUUUAUACCCACCCACCAUCUGUGACGCAUAACGUCUUACUAAAAUUUCACAAAAAAUAUAAAUUGUUAUUUUUAGUGGACUCUCCUUAACUUCCUUCAUAGAACAUAAUAAUACUGUCAAAUUUGAAUUUAAUUAGAAAUUUCAUGUUUAAUAUUAUUUUACUAUCAUGAAUGUUACACGUAACAGAACUAAACGAACCCACCCACCCCCAAGACUAACCGUAACAUUUUGUAAGGCAAUAUUGUGUACCCACCCACCCCUUGAUGCGUUAUGUAAUUUGUGAAUGAGCCCUAAUGCAACUGGCAGCAAUCGACUAUCUGUCAGUGAAAGAUUGAAAAAAAAGGAGAACGUUUAUCUUCCUUCCUCACCUCAUCAGAUAGAUACAGAUCGACUUCCGAAAAAAAGACGAUGACGUUGUGGCAUCCGGGCAAUCCUGCCAAAGAAUUCUCGUCUCACCAUAACACCAGCACCGCCACCUCAAGUAGCACUCUCUUCGUCCGCAUCCGGCAGCACGUCCCUGGAAGGCGAGUUCUUCGCUCACAAAAGAAACCAAUAUUAUACACAAAAGUCCCCGACUUUUACCGGCAAAAGUCAAAGUGUCCGAGUCAGUCCAAACGAUGCCUGUGUCAACUACCACCCUCCCUCACCUGCCCGCUCACAUUGCCAAUAUCAAAGGAAUCAAGGGAUGUAUAACCCCGAAAAACCCAGGUGUUGCUGGGUGGUCCACAAUAUAAUACGAAAGGUAAAGCGAGCGAGUUUUCCGGGAGAAGAAACAUAAUCGACGCUCGUGGUUGAGAAAGAAGACAUAUACUGGACGUCGAGGGUGAGGCACGAGUGGAUGCGAAGAACCCGAUUACGCUAGCUGAUGAAAGUCAAGUCAAUUAUUUUGCAAGUAAUGGAUGGAGAUACGCUGAGCCGCGAUAUCAGUUUUGCAGUGUGCUAUCCUGGAGAAGUCAAAGUGCCCGAGUCACGAGUAAAAACGAUGCCUGUGUCAACUACCACCCUCGCUCACUUGUCCCCUCACAUUGCCAAAAUCAAGGGAAUCAAAGGAUGUAUAACCCCGAUAAAACCCAGGUGUUGUAAAGUCAAAAAGAUUGUGUUGGACUUCCUUCAGACGCUGGGUCAUCCGCAAUAUGAUACGAAAGGUAAAGCGAGCGAGUUUCAGUACUAUCUUUUCCGGGAGAAGAAACAUAAUCGACGCUCGUGGUUGAGAAAGAAGAUAUAUGCUGGACGUCGUGGAUGAGGCAGGAGUGGAUGCAAAGAACCCGAAUACGCUAUAGCUGAUGGAAGUCAAGACUUAUUCAAUUAUUUUGUAUGAAAUGGACGGAAAUAUGCUGAGCCGCGAUGCGAUAUCGUUUUUGCAGUGCGCUAUCCUAGAGAAAAUCUUGGGAAAAAUGAUGAGUUUUUAAUAAAUAUUCAAAAUAUAUUUUGGCGUUUGAUUGUUGUUUUGAAAGCGCACUUGUUAUAUUAAGAGCAUCACAAUUGAUUCUAAUGUAAAAAACACAUUUACAUU